rnacentral:rRNA from 1 species
CCUACGGGCGGCAGCAGUGAGGAAUAGUGGUCAAUGGCCGUAAGGCUGAACCAGCCAAGUCGCGGGAAGGAAGAAGGAGCGAUGGUUUGUAAACUUCUUUUAUAGGGGAAUAAAGGGAGCCACGUGUGGAUAUUUGCAUGUACCCUAUGAAUAAGCAUCGGCUAACUCCGUGCCAGCAGCCGCGGUAAUACGGAGGAUGCGAGCGUUAUCCGGAUUUAUUGGGUUUAAAGGGGGCGUAGGUUGUUUUUUAAGUCAGCGGGGAAAGUUUGUGGCUCAACCAUAAAAUUGCCGUUGAAACUGGAAGCCUUGCGUGUGUUUGAGGUCGGCUGCAUGCGUGUUGUAGCGG